rnacentral:rRNA from 1 species
UACAGAGACCUCAAGCGUUAUCCGGAAUUAUUGGGCGUAAAGCGUACCGACAGGUGGUUUGGUUAGUCUUGGGUGAAAUCCCGAAGCUCAACUUCGGGUUUGCUUAAGAUACUGCCAGACUAGAGGAGCAAAGAGGAGACUGGAACGAACGGUGUAGUAGUGAAAUGCGUUGAUAUCGUUCGGAACACCGAAAGCGAAGGCAGGUCUCUGGGUGCUUCCUGACACUGCUAGGACGAGAGCGUGGGUAGCGAAUGGG